rnacentral:rRNA from 1 species
UACGUAGGGUGCAGGCGUUAAUCGGAAUUACUGGGCGUAAAGCGUGCGCAGGCGGUUCGUUGUGUCCGAUGUGAAAGCCCCGAGCUUAACUUGGGAAUGGCAUUGGAAACUGGCGGGCUGGAGUGUGGCAGAGGGGGAUGGAAUUCCACGUGUAGCAGUGAAAUGCGUAGAGAUGUGGAGGAACACCGAUGGCGAAGGCAGCCCCCUGGGCUGACACUGACGCUCAGGCACGAAAGCGUGGGGAGCAAACAGG